rnacentral:rRNA from 1 species
AAUGAACGUUGGCGGCAUGGAUUAGGCAUGCAAGUCGAGCGAGAAGGGUUUUGAAGCUUGCUUUAGAACCCGGACACCGGCGAAAGGGAGAGUAACGCGUAGUUAUGUGCCCUAGGGUCCGGAAUAGCCACGGGAAACUGUGGGUAAUGCCGGAUAACAUCCCCGGAUCAAAGGUGUGAUUCCGCCCUAGGAGCAGACUGCGUCCUACUAGCUAGUUGGUGGGGUAAUGGCCCACCAAGGCAAUGAUGGGUAGCGGGUGUGGGAGCAUGACCCGUCUCACGGGGACUGAGACACUGCCCAGACACCUACGGGUAGCUGCAGUCGAGAAUCUUCGGCAAUGGGCGAAAGCCUGACCGAGCGAUGCCGCGUGCGGGAUGAAGGCCCUCGGGUUGUAAACCGCUGUCGUAGGGGAGGAAGGUUCCGUGAAGAGCGGAAUUUGACCUAUCCUAGGAGGAAGUACGGGCUAAGUUCGUGCCAGCAGCCGCCGUAACAC